rnacentral:rRNA from 1 species
UACGUAGGGUGCAGGCGUUAAUCGGAAUUACUGGGCGUAAAGCGUGCGUAGACGGUUAUUUAAGUCGGGUGUGAAAGCCCCGGGCUUAACUUGGGAAUUGCGCUCGAAACUACGUGGCUGGAGUGUGGCAGAGGAAGGUGGAAUUCCACGUGUAGCGGUGAAAUGCGUAGAGAUGUGGAGGAACACCAAUGGCGAAGGCAGCCUUCUGGGCCAACACUGACGCUCAUGCACGAAAGCGUGGGGAGCAAACAGG